rnacentral:rRNA from 1 species
AGCGAACGCUGGCGGCAGGCCUAACACAUGCAAGUCGAACGAACUCUUCGGAGUUAGUGGCGGACGGGUGAGUAACACGUGGGAACGUGCCUUUAGGUUCGGAAUAACUCAGGGAAACUUGUGCUAAUACCGAAUGUGCCCUUCGGGGGAAAGAUUUAUCGCCUUUAGAGCGGCCCGCGUCCGAUUAGCUAGUUGGUGAGGUAAAGGCUCACCAAGGCGACGAUCAGUAGCUGGUCUGAGAGGAUGAUCAGCCACAUUGGGACUGAGACACGGCCCAAACUCCUACGGGAGGCAGCAGUGGGGAAUCUUGCGCAAUGGGCGAAAGCCUGACGCAGCCAUGCCGCGUGAAUGAUGAAGGUCUUAGGAUUGUAAAAUUCUUUCACCGGGGACGAUAAUGACGGUACCCGGAGAAGAAGCCCCGGCUAACUUCGUG